rnacentral:rRNA from 1 species
UCACCACCCUGAACGCGCCUGAUCUCGGAAGCUAAGCAGGGUCGGGCCUGGUAAGUACUUGGAUGGGAGACCACCUGGGAAUACAGAGUGAA